UCAAGACGGCUCACUAUGGCUCAGGAUGCAGUGGAUGACCUUGGUAUCUUUGAUGUCUAACCAAGCUCUAAGAGCUUCACAGUGCCUGCCUCAGCCAUCUUUGUAGCCAUUGGAUAAACUGUUCUCAUCUGCCCAUUCCACUGGGGAGUGUUUUCAUAUACUUGAGGUAGAUAACUUUCUGACUCAUCAAUGAAUUUGAGGCCUGUUGGUUACCCUCUCAACUUGGUUUCGCCCAUCUGCUGAGAAAAUUUUACUGAGUUGUGGCCACUGUGCAUGCUACAGCUUCUUGGAACCACAGAGAACUUAUGAUGAAGACAACUACCUAUCUCAUGACAAAGAAAUGAUGGAUCAAAAUGCAGGAUGAGUUAAAUAUUUUUUGGAGUAUGUGGACCUGGAAGCUCAGGAGGCAGCUGCGCUCCACCCAGGGCCACAAUCUGAGGGAAUGGAGCUGAGACCCGG